GUAGGGAAUAUUGGGCAAUGGAGGCAACUCUGACCCAGCCAUGCCGCGUGCAGGAAGACGGUCCUCUGGAUUGUAAACUGCUUUUGAAUGGGAAGAACAUACGGUUUGCGAACCGUACUGACGGUACUAUUAGAAUAAGCACCGGCUAACUCCGUGCCAGCAGCCGCGGUAAUACGGAGGGUGCAAGCGUUAUCCGGAUUUAUUGGGUUUAAAGGGUGCGUAGGCGGUCUUAUAAGUCGGUGGUUAAAGGUAGCAGCUUAACUGUUGUACAUGCCAUCGAUACUGUAGGGCUUGAGUGAUUUGGAGGUAGCUAGAAUUCCCUGUGUAGCGGUGAAAUGCAUAGAUACGGGGAGGAAUACCGAUUGCGAAGGCAUGUUACUACGAAUUAACUGACGCUGAGGCACGAAAGCGUGGGGAUCAAACAGGAUUAGAAACCCCGGUAGUCC
rnacentral:rRNA from 1 species